UGAUGAUGGUGAGGGCAAUUUUAGAGUCUACCCUUAAGUCUCUCCCAAGCUUGGUAGAGAUUCUCUCCGUCUUUCUGUCAAAAACUUAAGAUUUCACUCCUUAAGCA
rfam:Capsicum annuum cultivar Zunla-1 chromosome 2, whole genome shotgun sequence